rnacentral:lncRNA from 1 species
GCUCAGCAGCCCUGGAGGCGGGUGUGCGUGUGCCAUGCUCACGUCUGCAGGGUGUGAGUUUAGCUGCCCGCUUCCUCCCUCUCCCCAGCAACUGGUUUCAACCAGGAGAUCAGGACGCACAGUGGUGGCCAGAGCUGGACAGAACCGGGCUGGGAGGGCGAAGGCCGGAGGAAGACACGUAUCUUUGUUUCUGUACAGAGGACCAGGCCGCGGGCACUCGCCACCUCUCCAGGGCCUCUCUGCUCCAGGAAUGACAGGAGGCAGCAGACACUGGCACCGAAAAUCCUCCCUGCUCCUGUGCAGUGACAACUGAGGAAGUGGCUCCACCUUCAGGGGGGCUUCAGGACCUAGAAAGGCUGUGGAGAAGGAUCCUGAGACCAUCUCUAGACCUGCAGGACACAGCACCACUAUCAACUAGUGAUGUCUGCCAUGGACAGAGUCUGGAGAAGGGAAAGGGACCAAUGCCAAGACACAGUUUUCCCACUCUAGCAUCUCUGAAAUCAGUGUGCAUCAUACAGCUCAUGGCAUCUUACAAUUAUUUUGCAAUGUACUUUUUUGUGGUUGAGAAAAUAAUGGUGCAUUGUUCAAUUGAUGAAAUAAAU